CAGUGGAUCAUUGGCCACAUCGAUAAACAAACUGCACUCCAAAUGCUUGUGUGCUGAAGAGAUAAACACACAAGUGUGUGUUAUUAUAAUAAAGUUUGUCAUAAAUGAAGUGCCUUUAUUAAGCCCAAACAAACUCAUUAGCUAAGACCUCUUCCCUUCACACCUGCCAUUAUCCUGCAAAGGACUUUGACUCGGACGGCGCUAUCCAAUGGGCCAGGAGGACAGGACAGGGCAGGCCAGAAAAGGAGGACCGCUCCUUGGCAUCUGGCGGAGACGGCACCUGCGGAAUGCCGCCGACGCUCGCUGGAAUCUCUGUGAAAAAUAUUUCUAUGCACUGCUCCAGUCUUGGCCAGCUCCUUGUGGAUCCUUUCCCCCACGUCAUGGCCAUAACUCUGCCAAUGCGGGGAGAUAUAUAAAUUUGCUGUGGCCAGACAGGUUGUGUUGUGCCAGCUCAAUAGAUAAACACGUGUCGCCAUCAGCCAUUUCCCGCAAGGAUUGGGGCUUGGGAUCCCACUCAAUGCCUAUGGCACCUCCUUUCAUUCGGUGAAGCUGCUGUCCGGGGGCAACAAUUAUGCCGAAUUAAGUGCUGGAACUUUGGCUGCAUUCUCAAUAAGCCAAACUUUUACCGGAGCGCACAGAACGGAAAAUUAUAAAACGUUAAAAUUGAAAAAUCAUGCGCCAGCGAGAAGCAACAAGAAGUUGAAUAUCCAGAUGGUGCCCACGGCCAGCAGACGAGGCCGAGUAUAAUUGAAAAAUAUAAAGUAUCGCCGCAAUCUGAUUA